rnacentral:tRNA from 1 species
GGGGUUGUGGCUCAGUGGUAGAGUGCUCACCUAGCAUGUGCGAGGCCCUGGGUUCCAUCCUCAGCACCA